GCUUUGGUGAGAAGAAGAAGAAAAAGAAAAAAAAGAAGGAAGAUUGACAACAGAUGUUAGCUCAGGUGCCAGUCUUUAAAAAAAAAAAUCUUUCAGAAGUGCGUCCUAGUGAAAUCCACGUAGGAUUGAGGUAGGAAAUUUUAUUUAAUACAAUUCAUUUUAGUUAAUACCAAGCCUCCAGUCCUCUUCCUGCAAGGACUGACCGUAAAGCUGAGAUCUGAGCCAGCCUGGAAAUUGGCAGCAGCCCUUUCCGAGGCUGGUGAGAGGGUCUGUAAUCCUCUUUGCAGCAACGUCACCAAGUCCCACUUUUGGCAGCCAAUCAAUAGUUUUAUCUCACUAAAUCGGCUGGGGAGUGUUUCAACACGUGUUAGCAACAGUUACCUGGAAAUAGCAACUGUGAGAGAUGCUAAGGGAACAGUAUUCCAAUUGAUGUACCCCUCCUGAAUUCUUGUUCUUGUGCAGUCUCAGUCUGCUCUUCUACCUGGGGUGCUAAGUUCCAGAUUUAUUUCCUCAGGCAGGCUAGUUAGCCACCUCUGUCCUGUGGCUUGCAUUCCUGAAUAUCUACUAGUCUUGCAAGUGCAAGGCAUGGAACUGACAUCAAGGGGACCCAGGCAAGAGUGCGGCUAGAUCUAGGAGUGAACCCAGGGUCCAUCCCCCACAGAUGAGAGGUCAGGAGCACCUUUGUUCCCCAAGGUAGGUCCUCGAUUGAUUUCCCUUCGUGCACUGAUGUCUUUGUUAUGUGCGUAAGAGGCACGUGUGUCUGACUCAUUGUGUGAAGCUCUUCAUGCUGAGAAUUGUACUGUGUUCAAUGCAUUGUGGGUGCUCAAUAAAUAGUAAGUCAAUAGGACAGCCUCUGGUCCUGGGAUUAAUAAACCACACCAGCUACACACACAGUGUGACUACACAACCUCAGGAUGGCCAGGGUGGAAGCAAGGAUGAAUCAUGCCAAGAAAAUGCUACUCAAUCUAGAUGUGUCAAUUCCAGCUAAGUCCAGGAAUGAACUUUUCAGUUGGGAUCUUCUGUGGCCCCCUGACCCCAACCUCAGUAAUGACAGCAUUUUAGCAUGUGGCACCAAGCUCUAUGCUCUCCAAGACUGCAUGUCCCUGGGGGCCAGGCCGGUGCUGUAGUGGUUAAGUUUGCGUACUCUGUUUUGGUGGCCAGUGUUCGUGGGUUUGGAUCCUGGGCAUGGACCUAUGUGCCACUCAUCAAGCCAUGAUGUGGUGGCGUCCAACAUACAAAAUAGGGGAAGAUUGGCAUGGAUGUUAGCUCAGCAACAAUCUUCCUCAAGUGAAAAAAGAGGAAGAUUGGCAAUGGAUGUUAGCUCAGGGCCAAUCUUCCUCACCAAAAAAAAAAAAAAAAGGAAACGAUUAUAUGUCUCUAAAUCCACAGGUCCAUCAAAGGGAGAGUAGAGAAUUCAUGCUUAAUUUCUAUAUCAUCAUGAAUCUGGACCAUUAUUUAAAUGUUAGCAUUUAACUACCCACAUCCACAUACAACUUGGGAAACUCAGAAACAUCCAGCUUAUCGGUCUAUAAACAAAAUUUGAACAUCUAGGUUCCAAAAUGUUCAUGACAGAAUCAGUAACAGGAUGUUUCAGUACAACUAAAAUAAGACUUAAAAAUGGAUUAUGUGCACCUUCCCAAGAAUCCAUCUAUUUUGCAAAGUGAGAUAAAGUAGUCUACAGAUGUUGGAAAUGCAAAGUAUUCAUUUGGACAGACGAGGGUUGCCAUCUUGAUUUGUUAAAAUACUGUGCCUUCCCAAUCAGUCUUUGGAAGAAGAAAGCCUGAUUUUGAAAAUUGAGUGUGAACACUUGUGAAGGUUUUGAAUUGUUCUUCUCUACUUUCCAAGUCAAUUCCUCCUCAUUUCCCACUUUUUCUCUAUUCUGCCUUUUUUCUGCUGCUCUUCCAUAUUAUCUAUAAAAUAUCUCUGAUCUGAUCUAAUCUGAAGCUCCCUCUGCUCCAGUGAAGGGGAGGUGGUGGGAUUCAAGCAUCCCUCCUCUGAGGAGUCCUUAUAGGGUGACACGUUGGAGAGAAAGCCUGGCUCCUUCCUUUGCAGAGGGAGCCUGCAGCAAACAAGUGGAGGGCUGCUGCUCGUUCACUUCCUGCCCACUGUGGGGUCUUGGAGCUCAUGCAAUUAAUGUUUCACAGGCCAGCUCCAGGCAGAGAUGGAUAACAGGAGUUUGCACAGAUUCUCUGCAGGGCCCUUAACAUGAUAAAUCUCACGGAGAGCUCUCAAGAGGGACCUAAACGAAAGGUCAAAUGUGUUUCAUUUUGAUGUUUGGGACUGGAGCAAGGAAAGCUGAGCCAGAAAAAGCACAGGACAAACAGUCUCUUCUUGUCAGCAUUUCCCGGCCUCCCUUCCUCAGCCCUCACAAAAUCCUCUUCCUGACUUGCCCUUGACUAAAUCCCCUUGGCCCAGGACUCAUCUCCUUCUGGAACGACAUCUAAUGAUGAAUGGAAAGCUACAUCCUUCUCCCCCACCACACACACUCAGUUAUUGCCAAGUAAUGAAAAAAAAAAAAUCCUUUGAGCUGGACAAAUUAGAUAAAAACUCCAGGCCCAAGCUCUGGGUUAGAAGUCAGGUGCAGGCUUCUCCCCUUAGCCCAGAACACCACACUCACUCGUGGGUCUGCAUCCUAAGAGGCUGGCCCGUCACCUGGGUUGGAGGCACAGUGUGGCAGCUAACAUGCCCCAGGGCAGUCAGACGAAGUGGCCUGGCCAUGCCCAGUGUGCUAAAGGCUGGUUCCUGUAUGGUCAGCCCUUCUGAGGCUGCUGCCCAUUGCAGAGCAAAUGCUGGGGGCACGCUGACCCCCUCAUUAUUACAGAGACAAAGGGCGGUUGCGGGUGGGAAACUGGAGUGCUUGCAAGUCCCUUCACUGGCGAUGAUGGCUUCUUUAGGAUGGACCUCUUUUUAUGCCUAUUUCCCCCCCACCGCUGUUUCCUCUAGGAAACCCUGUUUUCUUUCUAUGAUAUAAUUACUACCUUUUGGGAGACAGAUGUCUUCUAAAGGCUUCGAGUGAGACUAAUGACAAGCAAUCCUGAGGUGCAGCUGAGCUAAAGCCAAAUGACCUGGCGGGAAUGCAUGUCCUUCCGCCCGACCUAGCUGCAUCCGAGGCACCGGGGACCCGUGGUCUUGCACGUCAGGCUAUCCACUCUGAAGUUUUGUUCUAGCAGCCCAAACGGAUGAGGACGUGAAAGUGCCUUCUGCCUGGACUGCUUCUCCCUGGCUCUUCUCCCCGCUGGAUAUGUCUCUUUCUUCAGAUGUCAGACCAAAGCUGUGGAACGAAAGUGACUCCUGGGCUCUGCGAGCUGACAACACCCCCAGCUUGGAGUGCGCACCUCCCACAGGCCCCUGGUUUGGAGAGCUGGGGGGGCACCGAGGGUUACUAGUCUGCUCAGAUUCCCUAUUUAUUUCUGAAGGUAAUUUUGACAAUUUACAUUUUCUUAGAAAACCAUCCAUUUUAUCAAGCUUUUCAAAUUCAGUAUCACAGAAGUAUAUCUAUUAUUUCUCAUGACUUAAAAUAUCUUCCAUACCUUUGUUUAUAUCCCUUUACUUAUUUCUAAUUCUCAGUAUCUGUUUUCUCUUUUUUUCUUAACGGCACUAU
ensembl:lncRNA